rnacentral:rRNA from 1 species
UACGGAGGGUGCAAGCGUUAUCCGGAUUUACUGGGUUUAAAGGGUGCGUAGGCGGACUUUUAAGUCAGGGGUGAAAUCCCGGGGCUCAACCCCGGAACUGCCUUUGAUACUAUUGGUCUUGAAUGUUGUGGAGGUGGGCGGAACGGGUCAUGUAGCGGUGAAAUGCAUAGAUAUGACCCGGAACACCGAUUGCGAAGGCAGCCCGCUACGCAACGAUUGACGCUGAGGCACGAAAGCGUGGGGAUCAAACAGG